UCUUAUUGUAUAUAGUACAUCUUAGUGCAGCCUGUCGUUCCGGUGGGUUUUGUACCCGAUUCGCACUGUGACCUCCAUCUCUGUGCCUUUCACACAACAAAUUUCCAUGCACUUCCCACACAGACUGACAUGUGCCGCGAAGAAAAAACAGUGUAUUGUAUGUACAUAGAUUCACAGUUCUUCUCAGCAUUUGGCUUUUAAUGAAUCUUCUCCAAACACAGCAUGAUGUAAAUAUUAAACACAGCCUCACACAAUCCAGAUUUAUUAAAGUAUUUUACUUUUAGAAUUUUUUUUUUUUAUAGAUAAAUUAAUGAUGUAUAUUGUAGUGCUGUAUAUCUCUUUGUGUUUUAGCUUCCACACUUGUUUUCUGUUCCUGUUUAUUUUUGAUUUCUUAAGAUACUGUAUGUUGUGGCCUAAUAAUACUACAAUUAUUUUAAUUCUGACUCAUAUAUAUAUAUGAUAUAAGGAUUGUGUUACAUUCUGUAGUGGUUUCAUUUUAGGGCACAGACCAUAUUUUAAUGUUUGUAAUAAUGAAAUAUCUGUGUGUAUGGUGAUGAAAUGUGAAAUGUGAUGGUUGUCCUGAAUGGAAGUGGUUAAUGGCUGAAUAAAAAGAAAUCAUGCAUACAGUA